GAUGAAGAACGUAGCGAAAUGCGAUAAGUAAUUUGAAUUGCAGAAUUCAGUGAAUCAUCGAAUCUUUGAACGCACAUUGCGCCCCUUGGUAUUCCGGGGGGCAUGCCUGUUCGAGCGUCAUUUCAACCCUCAAGCUCUGCUUGGUAUUGGGCUCCGUCCUCCUCGGACGCGCCUCAAAGACCUCGGCGGUGGCGUCUUGCCUCAAGCGUAGUAGAAACACCUCGCUUUGGAGUGCAUGGCGUCGCCCGCCGGACGAAACCUUUUGUAUUUUCUCAAAGGUUGACCUCGGAUCAGGUAGGGAUACCCGCUGAACUUAAGCAUAUCAAUAAGCGGAGGA
rnacentral:misc_RNA from 1 species